rnacentral:rRNA from 1 species
UACGGGGGGGGCAAGCGUUGUUCGGAAUUACUGGGUGUAAAGGGCUCGUAGGCGGCCAACUAAGUCAGACGUGAAAUCCCUCGGCUUAACCGGGGAACUGCGUCUGAUACUGGAUGGCUUGAGGUUGGGAGAGGGAUGCGGAAUUCCAGGUGUAGCGGUGAAAUGCGUAGAUAUCUGGAGGAACACCGGUGGCGAAGGCGGCAUCCUGGACCAAUUCUGACGCUGAGGAGCGAAAGCCAGGGGAGCAAACGGG